UCUGACAAAUAGCAUUUGUAAGGUUAAAUCCGAAAAAAAAUUGAAUUUAACAAGUACAAUCAGCAGAAGAGAAGGUGAAAAAGAGCCCACAAUGUAAUUGAUAAUUUCUAAAUACAAAAACUCAAAAAAAUUUAUAAAGUAGUAGAUUUUUUUCGGGAGUUUGGUGAUCCACAAGCGGUGCUUGAGAGUGAGCAGAGGUCUGGACCCUGUGUGGACAGGCACUUUGGAACACUAGCGGCUAGGCCCCGCCGGUCUACAAAUGUUCGCUCAGUCGAAAUGUUGCGAGCGAGGUCGGAACAGUACGAACGGAACGGAGUAACGGACCAUAACGGACUUCUCAUUUCAGCUGGGCUGGUUAAGUCUGUGUUAAAAGUUCUAAAGUGGUCUUGAAACUUGAAAUGUUAAAUUGCAUUGACUUGCAUCGGCAGUUUUGAAUUUCAAAAGAUGUCAGGGAAAGAUAUCAAAUGUUGUGUGUGCCAAAAACAGUUUAGUGCAGUUUUUAAUUUGGCAAAACACGCGCGGAAGUCUUAUUCACAACAAGCAGCUGAUAUCAUCCCAAAGAAGAGUUACAAAUACCAGUGUUUACAAUGUAACAAAAAUUUUUCCCUGUUAAAAAAUUUUAAUUACCAUAAGAAGACGCAUAACCAAUCGCAUAACCCACCUUCAAAGAACACAUAUGAUGCUGUGUGUCCGAUUUGCCAGUUGAAGGCACCAAAAGAUAAUUUGAUAUUGCAUUCAUUUUAAAGUAGAGCAUGAUAUAAAAUGUGAAACACUAGCAAUAGAAUUUACUACCUUUGAGGAAUUCUCAAAAUGGAAAUCAGAUAUGAAACAUGAUACCAAAAGUAAAUAUGUUGCAGAGCGGGGAUCUCAAGGUGGUAAAGAUGGGACCACAAUAAUCAAGUACUGUUGUCAUCGUUCUGGGAAAUAUGUUGCUCGCGGGAAAGGGUUAAGACAUUUAAAAACACAAGGUUCAAAUAAAAUUGACGGUUUCUGCCCUGCUCGUUUAAAAGUAAUCAUCGACAAGAACAACCAAUGUAAAGUGUCUUUUAUCAAACAACACGUGGGUCACGAUGAAGAAGAUUUGGGGCAUUUAUUCCUCACCCUUCAGGAGAGAAAAUGUUUGGCAAACAAAAUGGCAUUAAAAAUUCCUUUCCCCCAAAUUCUAGACGAGAUACGAGACUCAGUGGUGGGAUCACAAUUAGAUCGGAUUCACUUACUGACCAGAAAAGAUCUGAGCAACAUUGAAAGGAGCUACCACUUACAAUCAUCCGUCGUUCGGCAUGAGAGUGAUGCCGUCAGCGUUGAUGCCUGGGUAAAACAAAGGGAAAGUUCUGUAGUAUUCUCUUCUACAAACCCCAAGGAACCCAAUCUGAAAGCAAUUCCGAUUUACGAGAAGAGGAUUUUGUACUAAUUAUUAUGAACCUGGGUCAAGAAGAAAUUCUUAAGAAGUACGGUUCAGACUGCAUUUGCAUUGAUGGCAUCCAUGGCUUGAACCAAUACGAUUUCGAAAUGCACACUUUGUUAGUGAUUGAUGAUGUACGGGAAGGAUUUCCAUGCGCAUUUUUAAUUUCCAAUCGGUCAGAUGAAACUGUACUAAAAAUUUUUUUCCAUCAUAUCAAAGAAAGAAUUGGCUUCCAACUUACUAGUAAAGUUUUUAUGUCUGAUAUGGCAGAAGCCUAUUACAAAGCUUGGAACUUCAUAAUGGGCCCUGCAAAGUAUAGGCUUUUUUGUACAUGGCAUGUGGAUCGGAGUUGGAGGAAAAACCUUUCCAAAAUUAAAACCAAGGAGAAACAAGUUAUGGUUUACAAGUACCUACGGACUUUAUUACAAGAGAGAGAUGAAAACGCAUUCUUGCGUAUGCUGAAUGACUUCAUUAGGACUAUCACCAAUGACCCAGAGACUAACGAGUUUUCUGAGUACUUCAAAAAUAAUUACAUUAACAAUCGGCAUUGCUGGGCAUAUUGUUAUCGUUUACACUCCGGGCUAAACACCAACAUGCACAUAGAACGCAUGCACAGAACCAUCAAAUAUAUCUAUUUUGGUGGACGAAAAGUCAAGCGUUUGGACAAGGCAUUACAUGAGAUAGAAAAAUUUAUAAGGGAUCGUUUAUUCAACCGCCUUACAGUCCUGUUUAAAGCCAAAAGCUUUCUACGGCCUUGCUUGUAUCAAACGGUGCUGGAUGGAAAAUUCCUUCAAAUAACUCUUUUGAAGUGUACGAGCUUGAAGAAAAGGAGGGUGGUAUUGCAUGUAAUAACUGCAAGUUGAUGUGCAUGGAUUGUGGUGUUUGCAUACAUAAGUACACUUGUAGCUGUGUGGAUUCCUGUAUAAAAUUCAACAUGUGCAAACACAUACACCUAUUGUGUAGAUAUCUCAAACAACAGAACACUUCCCUAACUGCUAGUACUGGUCUGUCAGGUAAUAUCCUUCUCUAAAUCUCAUUUUCACUUUUUGGCUGCCUAUCUUAUUAAUCAGAAGAACAAAAAAGAUAAAUUCUUAUAGGUUCAGAUGAUGUUACAUCGAUAUUAUAGUCAUUUGAUCAUCUGUGAUACUCCACCAACGUUUUUGGGAUCAUUGUAAAAAAAAACAAAAGAUGAACGUAAUUUGCUGAUCAGCGAAGAUCCCAAAGCCUCUGAAGUUUCCGGAAUUGUAACCGGCCUUACCGUCAAUGAAGCUCUAAACCCCAAAGAGUUUGAAAAGCAGUUUAUUGCCAAAGAAAGGCAGAGACUGGGUGAAACUUUUAUUCAACUGCUAGAAGGUGCGACUUGCAUGGAACAACUUGAAGCUGCGAAAAACAUGUGUAUAGCUCUAGAACCCACACUGCAAGCAAUAGCAACGAAAAGGGAGCUAACAACACCGUCUACACGUGCAAGUCCUAGCAACAAAAAAAUUACAUCUCAACGAGGUGUAUUGCAUUCCACCAAGAAAAAAAACAAGAGACCAUCAAUGACUCUAGUUGCGCCUACAAAUGAAGAGAUGCAAGCAAUCGCGAUACGAACGUUGUCCAAAUAAUUUUACUACUGAACAAUAAUUAACUUUAAUAAAUACUUACGCAUUA